rnacentral:rRNA from 1 species
AAUAUUGCGCAAUGGAGGAAACUCUGACGCAGCGACGCCGCGUGAGCGAUGAAGGUCUUCGGAUCGUAAAGCUCUGUCCUUGGGGCAGAAGGUCUUCGGCCUUGACGGUACCCAUGGAGGAAGCCCCGGCUAACUACGUGCCAGCCGCCGCGGUAAUACGUAGGGGGCAAGCGUUGGCCGGAAUUAUUGGGCGUAAAGGGUGCGGAGGCGGCCUUUUAAGUCAGAUGUGAAAGCCCGCGGCUCAACCGUGGGAUUGCAUUUGAAACUGGAGGGCUUGAGUAUCGGAGAGGGUAGUGGAAUUCCCAGUGUAGCGGUGGAAUGCGUAGAUAUUGGGAGGAACACCAGUGGCGAAGGCGACUACCUGGACGAAAACUGACGCUGAGGCACGAAAGCUAGGGGAGCAAACA